rnacentral:rRNA from 1 species
AGGAAAAGAAACCAACAGGGAUUGCCCUAGUAACGGCGAGUGAAGCGGCAACAGCUCAAAUUUGAAAUCUGGCGCAAGCCCGAGUUGUAAUUUGUAGAGGAUGCUUCUAGGUAGCGACCGGUCUAAGUUCCUUGGAACAGGACGUCAUAGAGGGUGAGAAUCCCGUAUGUGACUGGCCCGCACCUUCUACGUAGCUCCUUCGACGAGUCGAGUUGUUUGGGAAUGCAGCUCUAAAUGGGAGGUAAAUUUCUUCUAAAGCUAAAUACCGGCCAGAGACCGAUAGCGCACAAGUAGAGUGAUCGAAAGAUGAAAAGCACUUUGGAAAGAGAGUUAAAAAGCACGUGAAAUUGUUGAAAGGGAAGCGCUCACAACCAGACUUCUAGGCAGUGUUCCGCCGGUCUUUUGACCGGUCUACUCUCUGUCUCGAGGCCAACAUCAUCUGGGACCGCUGGAUAAGACCUUAGGAAUGUAGCUCCCCUCGGGGAGUGUUAUAGCCUCUGGUGAUGCAGCGAGUCUCGGGUGAGGUCCGCGCUUCGGCAAGGAUGUUGGCGUAAUGGUUGUCAGCGGCCCGUCUUGAAACACGGACCAAGGAGUCUAACAUCUAUGCGAGUGUUCGGGUGUCAAACCCCUACGCGUAAUGAAAGUGAACGGAGGUGGGAAGCGUAAGCUGCACCAUCGACCGAUCCUGAUGUCCUCGGAUGGAUUUGAGUAAGAGCAUAGCUGUUGGGACCCGAAAGAUGGUGAACUAUGCCUGAAUAGGGUGAAGCCAGAGGAAACUCUGGUGGAGGCUCGCAGCGGUUCUGACGUGCAAAUCGAUCGUCAAAUUUGGGUAUAGGG